GAUGAACGCCGACAGAAUGCUUAACACAUGCAAGUCAACUUGAAUUUGGGUUUUUAACUUAGGUUUGGGUGGCGGACGGGUGAGUAACGCGUAAAGAACUUGCCUCACAGCUAGGGACAACAUUUGGAAACGAAUGCUAAUACCUAAUAUUAUGAUAAUAGGGCAUCCUAUAAUUAUGAAAGCUAUAAGCGCUGUGAGAGAGCUUUGCGUCCCAUUAGCUAGUUGGAGAGGUAACGGCUCACCAAGGCGAUGAUGGGUAGCCGGCCUGAGAGGGUGAUCGGCCACAAGGGGACUGAGACACGGCCCUUACUCCUACGGGAGGCAGCAGUGGGGAAUAUUGGACAAUGGACCAAGAGUCUGAUCCAGCAAUUCUGUGUGCACGAUGAAGUUUUUCGGAAUGUAAAGUGCUUUCAGUUGGGAAGAAAGAAAUGACGGUACCAACAGAAGAAGUGACGGCUAAAUACGUG
rnacentral:rRNA from 1 species